GCCGGAGGAGACAGCGUCGUCCGCGGGAGCCGCAAGGGCACGGCUGGCCGCAGCGGCUGUGGCACCGUGGGUGGCAGGUCGUCUUGCUCUGCCGGGGGUCUCCAAACGACGAGGACCGAGACCCAGACGCGCUAAAAGGCGCUGGAGAGAGGGAGACGGAGAGGUGGACGUGCAGAGUGAGCUUCAAAGAGGAAGAGAGCACAAGCAGAGGGAGUGGCAUGCGGAGGAAAAGAAGCAGACUCCCCGAGGAGCUGGACUCGAUCCCAGGACCCCAGGAUCAUGACCUGAGCUGAAGGGAAGAAGCUGAAAUCGGUGUGCAUGAAAGGAAAGCCAAGAUACAGAUGGAAACUUUGAUUAUUUUCUUGAGAGUAAUUAAAUUGCUUCAUUGUCAUAUUUCUAGAUCCACCCAAACUUUAAGGACAAAUUUUUCUCUAGUGAUUGUGCAUAGCGCAAGAACGGACCAGAAUAGUAGAAAUUAGACAUUAAAAUAUGAAUACAACCAUCUUAAAUCUGCUUCUGAAAAUAUCAUGCAUCUUCUUGAAAAUACACAAAACUGCAGUCUGUGAAAUUGUUUCCAUGGAAUCAGGUCAUUGCCCAAGAAAUUAUCAAGGCCAAUAAUUAAAAAGGACCAAGGUCUUUACCAUAAUCAUUUUCUGUUAGAGGAAGAAACAAAAUAAACUGGUGGCAGUAUUACCAUAUUACUGGCAGAAGUAGCCUUUGUUACUCCAUGAAGCUCAGUUAGAAGUGUCUUAUUUAGUAAUGCAA
rnacentral:lncRNA from 1 species